rnacentral:rRNA from 1 species
AUUGAACGCUGGCGGCAGGCUUAACACAUGCAAGUCGAGCGAGCGGCGGACGGGUGAGUAAUGUCUGGGAAACUCCCUGAUGGAGGGGGAUAACUCCUGGAAACGGUAGCUAAUACCGCAUACCAUCAGAUGUUCCCAGAUGGGAUUAGCUAGUAGGUGGGGUAAUGGCUCACCUCGGCGACGAUCCCUAGCUGGUCUGAGAGGAUGACCAGCCACACUGGAACUGAGACACGGUCCAGACUCCUACGGGAGGCAGCAGUGGGGAAUAUUGCGCAAUGGGCGAAAGCCUGAGGCAGCCAUGCCGCGUGUGUGAAGAAGGCCUUCGGGUUGUAAAGUACUUUCAGCGGGGAGGCGUUACCCGCAGAAGAAGCACCGGCUAACUCCGUGCCAGCAGCCGCGGUAAUAC